AUUGAACGCUGGCGGCAGGCCUAACACAUGCAAGUCGAACGGUAACAGGAAGAAGCUUGCUUCUUUGCUGACGAGUGGCGGACGGGUGAGUAAUGUCUGGGAAACUGCCUGAUGGAGGGGGAUAACUACUGGAAACGGUAGCUAAUACCGCAUAACGUCGCAAGACCAAAGAGGGGGACCUUCGGGCCUCUUGCCAUCGGAUGUGCCCAGAUGGGAUUAGCUAGUAGGUGGGGUAACGGCUCACCUAGGCGACGAUCCCUAGCUGGUCUGAGAGGAGGACCAGCCACACUGGAACUGAGACACGGUCCAGACUCCUACGGGAGGCAGCAGUGGGGAAUAUUGCACAAAGGGCGCAAGCCUGAUGCAGCCAUGCCGCGUGUAUGAAGAAGGCCUUCGGGUUGUAAAGUACUUUCAGCGGGGAGGAAGGGAGUAAAGUUAAUACCUUGGCUCAUUGACGUUACCCGCAGAAGAAGCACCGGCUAACUCCGUG
rnacentral:rRNA from 1 species